CCCUUAGUWACGGCGAGUGAAGCGGGAUGAGCCCAGCACCGAAUCCUCCGUCGAUACGGCGCAGGAACUGUGGUGUUCGGGACAGCCCAUGCGGAUCGGUUGGCAGUCCGAGUCCUCCUGAUCGGGGCUUCACCCAGAGCGGGUGUCAGGCCUCUACGGCAGCCGGCCGGUUCUCUAGGGUCGUCCUAGGAGUCGGGUUGUUUGAGAUUGCAGCCCAAAGCGGGUCGUAAACUCGACCUAAGGCUAAAUACUGACACGAGUCCGAUAGCGAACAAGUACCGUGAGGGAAAGUUGAAAAGAACUUUGAAGAGAGAGUUCAAUAGUACGUGAAACCGUCUAGAGGCAAACGGAGGGUACCGCAAAGUCCGUUCGCCGGAUUCAACUCGUCGGCGGUUCGGCGACGUUAUCGAGGGCAUGCCUCGUGGCAGUUCCGUGACGUCGAUUCGUUCUGCGACGGGCGCACUUUCGGCGAGUGGAGCGCCACGACCGGUUAGUUGGCGGUCAUAAGCAUCCGGGGAAGGUGGCCAGCAUCUCGGUGUCGGUGUUAUAGACCCGGUUAGCGUUGGCCCGUUGGCUGACUGAGGACGACUUUAACGCGGUCGUCGCGCGACCUCGUCUGUGUUCGAUCGUUCGACCUGAGGGGACUGUCGCCAGUGUCCUCUGACCGCGGUUGUUCACUGGACGGGUGUUCGCUCGGCGUACUCGGCGUCG
rnacentral:rRNA from 1 species